GAUGAAGAACGUAGCGAAAUGCGAUAAGUAAUGUGAAUUGCAGAAUUCAGUGAAUCAUCGAAUCUUUGAACGCACAUUGCGCCCCCUGGUAUUCCGGGGGGCAUGCCUGUUCGAGCGUCAUUACAACCCUCAAGCUCUGCUUGGUGUUGGGCCCCGCCGCCCCGGCGGGCCCUAAAAUCAGUGGCGGUGCCGUCCGGCUCCGAGCGUAGUAAUUCUUCUCGCUCUGGAGGUCCGGGUGUGUGCUCGCCAGCAACCCCCAAUUUUUUUCAGGUUGACCUUGGAUCAGGUAGGGAUACCCGCUGAACUUAAGCAUAUCAAUAAGCGGAGGA
rnacentral:misc_RNA from 1 species